UUUUCAUUUUAUUUUUUGAAUUCUCUAUAUGCAUGUAUGUAACUUUGUUUCAUUUGCGGAUACAUGUUUGAAAUAAGAUAUAGUCAUGCAUAAUUUCGGAUAUUUGAUGAAUACAAAUCUUUUUUUUUUGGGGCAAUCAAACAUAAUCCUCUUUUUCCCUCUUCAAUAUUUGGAAUAAGCUUGAUACCAGGGUUGAGAGAUCAAGAAAUAGCUGAAAGAAAGAAAAAUAUAGCCGAGAAGACCUAUCCAUAAAAAAGGUUUGUGUUCUGAUAGGCUAAAGUCAGAUCCUAAUCCAGUUUGCUCUACAGACACCAUAGAGUUCUUCUCCUCAUUUGGUUCAACAUCUGCUCAACUGAGUCUCUAUUCAAUCUUUUGUGAUACAUAUAUGCAACAUCAUUAUCAAGAUAAGAAGUCAAGAAAUAUCUAAGGUACCUUUUAAAACAUUCGACUAUCGGUACAACGAAGUAUGAAGUUAAAGAAAUAUAAAAAUGGGAAUUUCCAAUUGCCUUUUCUUUUUUAAUCACUCACCAUAGGAUUUAUGUUUCUAUAAAUAGCUUCAGAAUAUAUUACUGCAUAUCUUUGCUUCCCCUUCCAUUCAUCUCUAAUAUUUUUUUAUUAAAGAAGAGAAAAAAGCUUAGCACGUAAGAUGUUGCGUGAUUUCUGAAAUGAGGAAAGAAUUGAAUUAAGUUAAAAAAGCGAAAAAUUUGGGUGGUGCUUAUUUCUUAAUUUUUAUAGUUGAGACUAUAUCUGAGACUCCAAGAUCCUUUAUAUAUCUUCAAGAAGGUAAAUAAUUUUAAUUUAUAGCCUCCUUCCUACAUCAUUAGGACGUGAAUUAUCCAAAAUCUCAAACUAAUUCCAUAUCUUUUUAUAAUCUGGUUAAGAAUUAGACUGAUUUUACUUUGUCCUUUUCUUGGCAAAGAUACAGAUAAUGAAAUGCAUAAUACAUUUUUCAAAGGAAUUGCUACUAUGCUGGUCAAGCAGGGAAUGUACAAAGAAUCUGGUACAUCGUACCAGCAUGUGUAUGGUGGGUAAAUUGCAUUGAGAUAAUCGGAAGUAUGUAUCAUUAUUUAAGUUUUUUUUCCCAGCUAUCAUUACUUGAAUUUAAGUGUAUUAUUUUGCUAGCUCUGUGGUUAAAAGAUGUUUGUGAAGAGCAUAGGAUGGUAGAAUUAAUUAGUGCUUUACGUAAUAGUUAGUAGUAGUUUUACUCCAGUCAUUUUGUUGUAUAUGUUAUCACAGUGGUUUAUUUUUAGAGUAAUAAGGUAAAUUUACUAUGUUAAUGUGU